rnacentral:misc_RNA from 1 species
AGCGGCAGUGGCAGCGGCAU